GCUUCGCACGGGUUCAGUGCUGAUACUAAAUAUACUAUAGAACCUUUUUAAGGUCUACAAUACUGUAGUACAUUAUUUUAAUCUAUCUCGAAGGGUUCAGCCAGCGUUUACAAUGUAAGCGCAAAAAAAUGUGUUUAUUUACGACAUCACAUUAGAAACCUCUAAAAUUAUCAGUGUUUCUCUUCUAUAUUAUGCAUGUAUUAUACAUAUAAACCUUCCUCUUGAAUCACUCUAUAUAUU